ensembl:lncRNA
CCAGGGUCCAGUUAACAGAUCUGUGUUGGGGAACCACUGCUCACAGGUGGCAGAAAGGGAAGAUGGGUUACACUAAAGACAGGGAGACCAGUGAGGAGGUGAGAAAUGAGGAAAAGAUUAUGGAGCAAAAUCAUUUUAAAUGAAUUCAAAGUGGUUGCCUUACUUCACCGAUUAAACCAUCUACUUGCCCUUGGCCACAGGCAGAGUUCUUAUCAAUGGAAUGAAGAAGAAUAAAGUAAUUCCUAGCUUUGUUGCUUCUCCUUUUAUUUUCACUGGCUUUCUAAAUGAGCUACUUUAUUUUCAAUAUAUUAUUCCGCUUUAAUUAUUUCC